GCCCACACCUGUGGCUUCUGAAGCAGAGCACCAGCAGUGACAGUCCCACCAGAACCGCAUGGAAUAGAAAACUGUGCAUUUCCCUAAGGAAAGGGAAUGCCAGAGAAGGGCAGAAGGGAAAUCAGGAAGACAAAACGGUAAAUUACCUACCACAAAUCCAAUUCAUUGGUAUUUUUCCACUUACACUUAACCAAGCAACGAUUUCUCCUGGUCCCAUAAUGGAAAAGAGGGUUUAUCUAGAUUCAUAUAUACAAGACUGAAGAGUGAAGAGAGACCCAGAGAAUGUUCUAAAAUCUGCCAGUUAGCAUAAUCACACAGAGAAAUCUCUGCUUCCAGAGGAGGAGCCAAGUUCAAGUCAGAGUGUCUUCAUGUUGGAGUGGACCUUUCCUCUAUCUGUCAACAGAAUGGAUAAAUUGUGGAAGAGUAAUAUCAGAAUACUACACAUCAGUAAAAAACAACAAACUUCUGCUACAAACAAUCAACAUCGAUGAAUCUUUCAGGCAAAAGGUUAUAGAAACAGAUGAUCAGUGGCCCACGGAUUCCAGGUGAGGAUCUGGGACCCAG
rnacentral:lncRNA from 1 species